GAAGCCUUCAGAAGUGUUGUCAUUAUUUUUGUUCUCACUUGCACUCCCUCUCUCUGUGUACCUUCCGCAUCGAGAAGGGAGCAAAAGCAAAGGAAGAAAAAACAAUGGCUUCUCCGGUGACACUUCCGAUCUCCAGUCCACAAUCUGCGGCUACUGCCGGAUCUCAAUCUCAGGCACCUAUAUCAACUCCCGCAUUCCGUUCAUUCAUUUCCCGUCUUUCAUCUUCGAUCCGUCAAGGUUUCGCUCAACGCCGCCCUUGGUUGGAACUUCUCGAUCGCACAUCAUUUGCCCGUCCUGACUCCGUCGCUGAAGCAGCUUCUCGCAUCCGCAAAAACUUCUCCUAUUUUCGCGUCAAUUAUGUUACCCUACUUGCUGGCGUACUUGCUCUUUCCCUUCUAUCUCAUCCUUUUUCUCUCCUUGUCCUUCUUGCUCUCCUCGGUGGAUGGUUUUUUCUCUAUUUGUUUAGACCUUCAGAUCAGCCCGUUGUUAUCUUUGGCCGUACUUUCUCUGAUCGUGAAACGUUGGGGAUAUUAGUUGUAUUCACCAUUGUUGUGGUGUUCCUCACUAGUGUUGGAUCCCUGCUUAUCUCUGCUCUUCUUGUUGGAUUGGCUAUUGUUUCUGCUCAUGGAGCUUUUAGGGUUCCUGAAGAUUUGUUCCUUGAUGAUCAAGAGCCUGCCAACGCUGGAUUCCUUUCGUUCCUCGGUGGUGCUGCUUCAUCUGCCGCCGCUGCCGCUGCGCCGGCUGUUGCUGCUCGUGUGUAGUUGGAUCCAUUUGAUUUGAUGACAUGAUAUGAGGUUGGUUUGGAGCUUCUAUAUUUGAUGUGAAUCAGUUAUUCAAACUGUAAUAUUCUUGGUAGAGAAGAAGUAGUUUCUGCGUUGGAUUUUGCAGAAAAUAUUUAGAAAUUUUUUAUCCAGAUUAUAGAUCUUGAUUGGAUCUGUAAUUUCCUACUUUUAGAUCUGUAUUUAACUCUUUACUUCGUUUGCUACUAUAUUUUAAUUCAUGUUUAUCUGUAAGUUGGUGUCUCAAAUGUUAAAUUUAC
rnacentral:misc_RNA from 1 species